GGUGAUCCCUACCAUACUUUGAAAAAUCAAGGUUUAUUGGAAAUUUCAACUUCUUACGAUACUUUUGCAACAGCAGAUAGAUUUAAUAAACAUGGUGACCAAAACUGGAAUGCCACAAAUCGAUGUGAUGUGCCAGCUUUUCCAAGCGAUAAUCUUCAUGUUGUUCGGAACACAACUGCGGUGAAUUCGCACGCCACACAAUCCUCCGGUAGACCUUAUAGCCUCCAAAAAUUAUGAGACGAAAAAGGUUGAGAAACAAAAGUCUUCUCAAGUGAUUGUUCAUAAAAGCCAGUCCAUUGUAAAUAAAGGAGAGUCAGUGAAAGAAACUAUGAAAAUGUAACC
rnacentral:misc_RNA from 1 species